GUGCGCGGGGUGGCUGGGGCUACGUGCAGAGCUGUCGCGGAGCCGGAGCAGCAGCGGUGAAGGCCCUCGGCUCGGCCGAGACCGCCGUGCCCACUGCUCGCCUCGGUUGCCGCCGCUUUAGCCGCAGCCGCUGCUGCCGCCGCCGGGGGAGAGGCAGCCUAUUGUCUUUCUCCGCGGCGAAGGUGGCAUUUUUCAACUCCGCUGGAGCCAGUGCCCAGGAGGAACAAAGGGUGUGCUGCCAGCCCCUGGCUCACCCAGUGGCCUCGUCCCAGAAGAAGCCAGAGGUAGCGGCCCCAGCCCCAGAGAGUGGGGGUGAGUCUGUGUUUGGGGAGACCCACCGGGCCCUGCAGGGGGCCAUGGAGAAGCUGCAGCGACUUUAUGGAAGGAGAAGGUGGACCUGAAGGAGCGG
rnacentral:lncRNA from 1 species